rnacentral:ncRNA from 1 species
GAAAAUACAAAGAUGAGGAUUAGUAAAAAUUAAAGUCUUUUUUUAGAGAAGGAAUGUAAGGUGAGAGAUUCCUAAAAGACCAUUUUGAACCUACCUCUGAGUUCUGUACUGAAAUAAUAGUAGGAUACAGCGGUUAAUUACCGUUAAUAAUUAAGAGUGAAUAUGCUUGUUACAAGUGUAUUAAUCAGGGUGGUACCGCCGAUUAAGCCUCGGUCCCUUAU